UACGACGGGGGCUAGCGUUGUUCGGAAUUACUGGGCGUAAAGCGCGCGUAGGCGGAUUGGUAAGUCAGGGGUGAAAUUCCGAGGCUCAACCUCGGAACUGCCUUUGAUACUGCUGAUCUGGAGUACGGGAGAGGUGAGUGGAAUUCCGAGUGUAGAGGUGAAAUUCGUAGAUAUUCGGAGGAACACCAGAAGCGAAGGCGGCUCACUGGCCCGAUACUGACGCUGAGGCGCGAAAGCGUGGGGAGCAAACAGG
rnacentral:rRNA from 1 species